UUGACCUCGGAUCAGGUAGGGAUACCCGCUGAACUUAAGCAUAUCAAUAAGCGGAGGAAAAGAAACCAACAGGGAUUGCCUUAGUAACGGCGAGUGAAGCGGCAACAGCUCAA
rnacentral:rRNA from 1 species